rnacentral:rRNA from 1 species
GACGAACGCUGGCGGCGUGCUUAACACAUGCAAGUCGAACGGAAAGGCCCUGCUUUUGUGGGGUGCACGAGUGGCGAACGGGUGAGUAACACGUGAGUAACCUGCCCUUGACUUUGGGAUAACUUCAGGAAACUGGGGCUAAUACCGGAUAGGAGCUCCUGCUGCAUGGUGGGGGUUGGAAAGUUUCGGCGGUUGGGGAUCGACUCGCGGCUUAUCGGCUUGUUGGUGGGGUAGUGGCUUACCAAGGCUUUGACGGGUAGCCGGCCUGAGAGGGGUAACGGCCACAUUGGUACUGAGAUACGGCCCAGAAUCCUACGUGAGGCAGUAGUGGGGAAUAUUGCAGAAUGGGGGGAAGCCUGAUGCGGCAACGCCGCGUGCGUGAAGACGGCCUUCGGGUUGUAAACCGCUUUCGCAGGAGACGUAGCGUGAGUGACGGUAAUGGGUAAAGAAGCACCGGCUAACUACGUG